rnacentral:rRNA from 1 species
GACGAACGCUGGCGGCGUGCUUAACACAUGCAAGUCGAACGGAAAGGCCCUGCUUUUGUGGGGUGCUCGAGUGGCGAACGGGUGAGUAACACGUGAGUAACCUGCCCUUGACUUUGGGAUAACUUCAGGAAACUGGGGCUAAUACCGGAUAGGAGCUCCUGCUGCAUGGUGGGGGUUGGAAAGUUUCGGCGGUUGGGGAUGGACUCGCGGCUAAUCAGCUUGUUGGUGGGGGAGUGGCUUACCAAGGCUUUGACGGGUAGCCGGCCUGAGAGGGUGACCGGCCACAUUGGGACUGAGAUACGGCCCAGACUCCAACGGGAGGCAGCAGUGGGGAAGAUUGCACAAUGGGCGGAAGCCUGAUGCAGCAACGCCGCGUGCGGGAUGACGGCCUUCGGGUUGUAAACCGCAUUCGCCUGUGACGAAGCGUGAGUGACGGUAAUGGGUGAAGAAGCACCGGCUAACUACGUG